AUGUGCAGAGAUAACUCACUGCAGAGUUCACCAACCAUUUCAAUUCCUGUAUGAAUGCAUUAGUAUAAUUUAUAACUAUAUAUUUAAAUAAAUGAAAGUAUACAUGCAUUCUAUAUAUUUAAAUAAAUGAAAGUAUACAUGCAUUUUCCGGUGAAUUGUUGAUCAUUGUGUUUUUUUUAGUUUUGUUUUUCUUCUAUGUUUUCCUUAUUUAUAUUUUAGUUUUGCUUUCCUUAUUUAUAUUGCUUUGUGGCGCUUUAAAAGGACAUACCCUAGGUUGUGAUAUUCUUACACAUAUGCUGUUUAAACAGCUGCAAGUUCUAGAAUUAGGUUGCUAUACAUUUUAGUUCUUGAAAACAAUAAGAUUGAAAACAUUCUAAGAAAUUGUCAUUCAUUCUUGUUCAAACUUAGAAGAUCAUGUAAUUUUAAACAAUAAUAUUGAUAUAUUUUUAAUAAACAAAGACAAUAAAUAACUAAAUUCAAAGACAAAAAUGAGUAAGACUUUGUUUUGAAUACGUUUUCUUACUUUUAGGGCUAAAGAAGUGGUUUGAUCUAAACCUAAAUGAGAGAGGAACUACUAUUCUCUUUUACUUUUCAAUGAUACUUACAACUUAUACAGGUUAAUUAACAAAGACUUCAAUGUUCGUAAAAAUACUUUCUUUGAUUGAGAAGAAAAUAAGAAUAUGCAGAAUGCCUAUUUCUUUCUUUAGCAAUGUAAAUAUCAUUAUUUAUUUGAAAUAUCAAAGUUGGGUUGGCAAUAUUCCAGACUGCAGUCAAACAAACCACAUUACUUCAGAUGCAUACUUUUUUUUUUUGAGAAUUUUUAUUUAUGUAAGAUAUGGUUUGCGUGAUGAAAUCUAACCAAUCUCAGAACCACUGCAGCAUCUGUCAAGUGUCUUGUUAUAUCUAAAUAAAAGUUUCAUAAAAGAAAUGUUCCCGAUAACCACUUAUACUCUUUAGUUCUACCUGACCAUCAAUAAUAGGGGUUUCAAGCUCCAAAGGAUUACUUAGAAACUUUUCCAGAUCGAAAUUCUUGCUUUGACCUACCGCAAUAGACAGGUUCUUUGCCUGAAAAGGUGAUGAAAUUCCAGCCAAAAGCGGAUCCUCCAACUAUAUAUGUCCCUGGUAGACCAUCUUCAACCUGCUGCUUCUGAAAGCCAGGAACUGGUGGAGUAAGCUUAAUUUCAGAUGGUCGUGCAAAUGAUUUCUCUACUUGAAUCUGCUCAGAAAACUUGACAUAUGGAGCCUUCAUCUGGCCAUCUUGCAUAUUCUUAGACUUCGCCAGUGAAUCCGCUUUCAUGCUUUCAUAUAACUUGAUCACAAUCUUCAGCUCUGCAAUUGAAGUCAAAAGGCAUACUUCAAGCUACCACAUGUAGUACUUUUACACCACUUACCCUAAAACUACCAGAAAUCAUAGACAUGGUGGCUCAGUGGAGAAACCCAUAUAAAUAAAAUAGACAUAA
rnacentral:lncRNA from 1 species